GCCAGGUGUAAAGGGCGGAGCUUAUAACAAUGAUUGACAGGGAGCUAAGAUGGAGGUGGCUCUCUCUAUACUGACUGCCAGGUGUAAAAGGCGGAGCUUAUAACAAUGACUGACAGGGAGCUAAGAUGGAGGCGGCUCUCUCUAUACUGACUGCCAGGUGUAAUGGGCGGAGCUUAUAACAAUGAUUGACAGGGAGCUAAGAUGGAGGGGGCUCUCUCUAUACUGACUGCCAGGUGUAAAGGGCGGAGCUUAUAACAAUGAUUGACAGGGAGCUAAGAUGGAGGUGGCUCUCUCUA